AUUGAACGCUGGCGGCAGGCCUAACACAUGCAAGUCGAACGAGUGGCGGACGGGUGAGUAAUGUCUGGGAAACUGCCUGAUGGACGGGGAUAACUACUGGAAACGGUAGCUAAUACCGCAUACCAUCGGAUGUGCCCAGAUGGGAUUAGCUAGUAGGUGGGGUAAAGGCUCACCCAGGCGACGAUCCGUAGCUGGUCUGAGAGGAUGACCAGCCACACUGAAACGGAGAGACGGUCCAGACUCCUACGGGAGGCAGCAAUGGGGAAGAUGGCACAAUGGGCGCAAGCCUGAUAGAGCCAUGCCGCGUGUAUGAAGAAGGCCUUCGGGUUGUAAAGUACUUUAAGCGGGGAGGCGUUACCCGCAGAAGAAGCACCGGCUAACUCCGUGCCAGCAGCCGCGGUAAUUC
rnacentral:rRNA from 1 species